rnacentral:tRNA from 1 species
UGCUUUUCAAGGGAGCUUAUUAUGCAAUGAACAUAGUGGUUUAGAUUUUAGGAGAGAUAUCCUACGUUUCCUUUAG